CCUACGGGUGGCAGCAGGGGGGAAUAUUGGACAAUGGGGGGAACCCUGAUCCAGCCGUGCCGCGUGUGUGAAGAAGGCCCUCGGGUUGUAAAGCACUUUCAGUGAGGAAGAACGCCUGGUGGUUAAUACCCAUCAGGAAAGACAUCACUCACAGAAGAAGCACCGGCUAACUCCGUGCCAGCAGCCGCGGUAAUACGGAGGGUGCGAGCGUUAAUCGGAAUUACUGGGCGUAAAGCGCGCGUAGGUGGCUUGAUAAGCCGGUUGUGAAAGCCCCGGGCUCAACCUGGGAACGGCAUCCGGAACUGUCAAGCUAGAGUGCAGGAGAGGAAGGUAGAAUUCCCGGUGUAGCGGUGAAAUGCGUAGAGAUCGGGAGGAAUACCAGUGGCGAAGGCGGCCUUCUGGACUGACACUGACACUGAGGUGCGAAAGCGUGGGUAGCAAACAGGAUUAGAUACCCGGGUAGUC
rnacentral:rRNA from 1 species